ACAUGGUGGCCAUGGGCUCAGGCCUCCAGCUCCUGGGCUAGAGCAUGAGGACGUGGCCCCGUGACCAAGAACGGGAAAGCGGCCUGGGACUGUAUCAGGACUGCCAGCCUGCCGACAGUCACUUACCAGGACUUCCUGCCUCUUCUCUCCGCUGUGGACAAUGGCUCCCCUUCCUGGGGCUCAACUGCCACUAACUGCCGGCUGGUGGAGAUUCCCGGCCGCUGAUUGGGCCCCAACCCUGCCAGUCCCUCUGGAAACAGAGCUGCUCCUCACAGAGUCCGGGGGCAGGGCCUUCUUCAUCCAUUUCACCGCUCAGCCCCCGGGGAACCUCGCCCUGGUUGACACCACACCCGGCCCCCCAAGCCCUCUGGUCUUUCAUCAUCGGAAUCUGAAAAAGAAAAACGUGAGGAAUCAAUCAAUGGAAACGUCCUGGAAGUGGACAUUGGUACCCAUUGUACAAUCACAAAUACACGAAAACCCACAGGCCCGUGCGCUUCGACAGGGAGAAUUUUAUGGUGUGUAUUUCUAUCUCAAUAAAAAGAAGUGGCGGUGAGGA